rnacentral:rRNA from 1 species
UACGAAGGGGGCUAGCGUUGUUCGGAAUUACUGGGCGUAAAGCGUGCGCAGGCGGCCAUCCAAGUCAGGGGUGAAAUCCUGGAGCUCAACUCCAGAACUGCCUUUGAUACUGGCGACCUUGAGUCCGGGAGAGGUGAGUGGAACUGCGAGUGUAGAGGUGAAAUUCGUAGAUAUUCGCAAGAACACCAGUGGCGAAGGCGGCUCACUGGCCCGGUACUGACGCUGAGGUGCGAAAGCGUGGGGAGCAAACAGG